UACGUAGGGUGCGAGCGUUAAUCGGAAUUACUGGGCGUAAAGCGUGCGCAGGCGGUUCUGAAAGUCAGCUGUGAAAGCCCCGGGCUCAACCUGGGAAUUGCGGUUGAAACUGGCGAACUAGAAUCUGGCAGAGGGGGGUGGAAUUCCACGUGUAGCAGUGAAAUGCGUAGAGAUGUGGAGGAACACCGAUGGCGAAGGCAGCCCCCUGGGCUGAGAUUGACGCUCAGGCACGAAAGCGUGGGGAGCAAACAGG
rnacentral:rRNA from 1 species